rnacentral:lncRNA from 1 species
AAUAAAUAUUUGGGUUGAAAUACCGGUACAGAAAUAACUUUGUUUAAUAAAUUGAACUUGGUUUUGGUAAAAGGCUUCUGACUGCUGAAAGAGAAAUGUCUUUAAGUUAAAAAAAAAAGUCAUAAAAGUGUAGCCAUGAGUCCUAGCUUGGGGCAGUGCAGUUUCACUGUGGUUGCAUUUGAAAAUUGUGUGCCAAGUCCCAUUUGGGUGAAGUGAAAGAAUUAAAGAUUACCUGAAGUUGCCUGUAAUUACUCAUGUUUUAUUCAGCUCUGGAGAUUCUAUAUGAAGAGGCAAAGCACAAACAGCCUAUUUGUACAGAUCCAGGUGUUUCUCUCAAAUAGACUGAUGUAUUUAAUUGGGAACGUUUAGCUGUUUUUUCCUUAUCAUCCUUGGUGCUAUCUCUGUCUUUGACAGGCAUUUAUACCAAUUUGACUGAAAUUAUAUGUAUUUAGCAAGUGGUUUUUGUUUUAGUGAAAUGGGAAGACAUAAAAGAACGCUGAGAUUUGCCUGCUUAGUCAAAAUGCUUUGGGUAUAUUUUUUUCAGGAGAGUCCAACAAGUCCCUUUGUAAUGGAUUGAGCUUCCUUUGACAGCAGUGGAAAAAGAGCUCUCUGCAAAAAGAGCUGCUACAAGGAGAAAUCAGGAGCAGCUGACUGGCCUAUGGAACCACAUCGGGGAUGUCAUGAGCAACGUCCUCCCUGGAAUGAGAAGUGAACUGGCCCCAUGCUCCUCCUGCUUCAAAGCCCUGUGGAUUUUGGGCUCUUUGAUCCAUUCAUGGAGUGAGAAAAUGGAAGCAUCAAAGAUCUUUGCUCAUCUGAGAAGGCAAGAGGAAAAAAAAGAGGGAUGGCUGAGCAAUAGCAGCUACUGAGAAAGUGUGAUAAAGCUGUAAAUGAACUUUAGAGAUCAGCACUUGCUGUGGGUAACAGCAUCAUAUUAAUAAUGCAUUGCUAGGAACUGUCUCAUUAUCAUCAUUACUGGUCAAUGAUGUUGGCAGUCCUAAUGACAGGUGUGGAUUUGUACCCACCUUAGCCCAAAGAGGCUGCUGUGUGAAGGACUGCAUUGCUUUUGCAAAGGAGCCUUGGCUGUGGAGAGAAAGAAAGAAAAAAAAAACCUGUUGAAAAGAAAUGGUUUGAAUAAAGUAUACAAAUGGCAAAAGAAAAAUGAAAAA